AGACGUCUACAUUAGAUACCCGGGUAGUCCCAGCCGUAAACAAUGUGCGUUAGGUGUGUCGGUAACCACGUGUUACUGAUGCGCCGAAGAGAAAUCGUGAAACGCACCACCUGGGAAGUACGGUCGCAAGGCUGAAACUUAAAGGAAUUGGCGGGGAGCACCACAACGGGUGGAGCCUGCGGUUUAAUUGGACUCAACGCCGGGAAGCUCACCGGAUAAGACAGCGGAAUGAUUGCCGGGCUGAAGACUCUGCAUGACUAGCUG
rnacentral:rRNA from 1 species